GAGACCGGCGCACGGGUGCGUAACGCGUAUGCAAUCUACCUUGUACAGGGGAAUAGCCCAGAGAAAUUUGGAUUAAUGCCCCAUAGUAUAAUUGAAUCGCAUGGUUUAAUUAUUAAAGUUCCAACGGUACAAGAUGAGCAUGCGUCCCAUUAGUUAGUUGGUAAGGUAACGGCUUACCAAGACAAUGAUGGGUAGGGGUCCUGAGAGGGAGAUCCCCCACACUGGUACUGAGACACGGACCAGACUCCUACGGGAGGCAGCAGUGAGGAAUAUUGGUCAAUGGGCGCAAGCCUGAACCAGCCAUGCCGCGUGCAGGAAGACGGUCCUAUGGAUUGUAAACUGCUUUUAUACAGGAAGAAACAACUCUACGUGUAGAGUCUUGACGGUACUGUAGGAAUAAGGAUCGGCUAACUCCGUGCCAGCAGCCGCGGUAAUACGGAGGAUCCAAGCGUUAUCCGGAAUCAUUGGGUUUAAAGGGUCCGUAGGCGGUCUUAUAAGUCAGUGGUGAAAUCUCCUAGCUCAACUAGGAAACUGCCAUUGAUACUGUAAGACUUGAAUUUUUGUGAAGUAACUAGAAUAUGUAGUGUAGCGGUGAAAUGCUUAGAUAUUACAUGGAAUACCAAUUGCGAAGGCAGGUUACUAACAAACGAUUGACGCUGAUGGACGAAAGCGUGGGGAGCGAACAGGAUUAGAUACCCUGGUAGUCCACGCCGUAAACGAUGGAUACUAGCUGUUCGGGGCAAUCUGAGUGGCUAAGCGAAAGUGAUAAGUAUC
rnacentral:rRNA from 1 species